rnacentral:rRNA from 1 species
AUGGCGAAGCCCGCGGCGUCCUUGGCCUCCCUCCUCCCACAGCUAUGGCACCGGCCCUUGCCGCCGCCCCCCCUCCUCCCCCGCGCCCUCUACUCCUCCUCCCCGCUCCUCACCACCCACCGCAUCCCACGCCGCCGCCGCCGCUUCUCCCCCACCACGCACCUCGACGCCGCGGCCACCGCCAGAGCAACCAGAGCCGCCGACCCCGUAGAGGCCCUAACAGCCACCUCGUACCCAGCGUACGACAGGCUUCUGCCCUGCCCGUCGAAGGACGACCCUCCGAGGAUCGAGCACCUCGUCGCCCGGGAAGACGAGGUCGCCGGCGAUUUCAUCUCCAGGUCCCUCAACCUCCCCCCUCUGUACGUUGCAGAUCUCAUCAGGUUCGGGGCCGUGUACUACGCCCUUGUUGCGCCGCAGCCGCCCCCCUACGCUGCUCCGGAGCAUGUGAGGAUCUUCAGAGAGGUGACAGAGCCUUCGCUCCUUCGCCAGAGGGCGUCCAUUAAAGGGAAGACCGUGAGGGAGGCGCAGAAGACGUUCCGGGUGACGGACCCCAGCCAGCGCCUCGAGGCCGGCACUUAUCUAAGGGUUCAUGUGCAUCCCAAACGGUUCCCCAGGUGCUAUGAAAUUGACUGGAAAUCCAGGGUAGUGGCGACCACUGAUGACUUUGUUGUCCUCAAUAAGCCAGCUGCAACAUCAGUAGGAGGUGCAACUGAUAAUAUUGAGGAAUCCUGUGUGGUUUUUACUUCACGUGCAUUAGGAUUGGAGAGCCCUUUAAUGACAACUCAUCAGAUUGACAACUGUUCUGAGGGCUGUGUGGUAUUGUCUAAAACCAAGGAAUUCUGCUCAGUUUUCCAUGGAUUGAUAAGGGAAAAACAGGUUAAAAAAGUUUAUCUCGCGCUUACAACGGAACCUGUGUCUCCAGGAAUAAUUACUCAUUACAUGCGUCCCCUUAAUCGUGCUCCCAGACUUGUUGCAGAAGAUCAUAUUGAAAGAUGGCAUCUCUGUCAAAUGGAGAUAUUAGACUGUAAGAAGGUUCCAUGGCCAAAACCGUUGAUAACAAAAGUCCACAAAGUGGACAACUGUGGGUGGCCCAAACAGGAAGCUGCCUAUGAAUGUAAAAUCAAUCUCAUGACAGGGAAAACUCAUCAGAUUAGAGCACAGCUUGCUGCUAUAGGUGCUCCAAUUGUUGGGGAUUCUGCGUACAUGACUGGAGUGAUCGCAGCAAUGGCUAAUCCAAGCAUAAACCCAUAUGGUAGGGCGAGCUUGAAUUACAACAAUGAAGAGGAAAAGGCUGCUGCUGUUGAAGCGUGGGUUGCUUGCCAUGGCAAGGAACCGAAAUCCGUAAUUGGUCUGCAAGCAUCUGAAAUCUCGUGGGAUUAUGAAGGCGAGCACCACUAUUACAAGGCUGGGGUCCCUUGGUGGCGGCAAGACGCGGUGGAGUCCGAGCUGGUUUGA